UACGAAGGGGGCUAGCGUUGCUCGGAAUCACUGGGCGUAAAGGGUGCGUAGGCGGGUCUUUAAGUCAGGGGUGAAAUCCUGGAGCUCAACUCCAGAACUGCCUUUGAUACUGAGGAUCUUGAGUUCGGGAGAGGUGAGUGGAACUGCGAGUGUAGAGGUGAAAUACGUAGAGAUUGGGAAGAACACCAGUGGCGAAGGCGGCUAUCUGGACGGUUUCUGACACUAAGACUCGAAAGCGUGGGAGCAAACAGG
rnacentral:rRNA from 1 species